GAUCCCCAUCCCCUUCUCUUCUCUGCUAAAUCGCCUCUGCUUCUCGCACCUUGCUCUCACUCCCUACCUUCAAAGAGUCCUCUCUCUCUAUCUUCUUCCCGCUGGAGCGGCGGCGGCGGCGGCCCCGGUGCACCAGUGAGCUGACCCCUUGCAGCAGGCAGGUCGCAGCCGGCCUUGCAGCACCGGUUGGCCGUGGAUCUCGCCGGGGGCGCCGACGCUCGUGGUGCGACGUGCUCGUGGUGCUUCACCGGCGUCCCGACGCGACGUACUCCGCUCGAGGUGCUGCAGUAAAGUGCACGGGGUUGCAAUGGAGCACUGCGGGAGGCUGCAAUGGGGCGCCGCGCGGGUGUCGUUGAGCUCCGACAGGGCUGCAAUGAAGCACGCCAGAGAUGCAUUGAAGCACGCAUGGGGUCGUUGAAGCUCGUCAGGGGUUGCAAUGGAGCGCCGUCGGUGAUUGCAAUGGAGCGCCACCCGGAGCUGCAAUGGAGCGUCGUCGGUGCUUCACGCCGCGUUGUGCUGCCAUGGAAGCUGCUGUGUUGGAGCUUUUUUGGCGCGGUCAUCGUUGCCAUUUUUCUGAGCAGUAGUUAGAUGGCUCCCAGUGCUGCGAGCAGUGGUCGCUGGCGGCUCCGGAUGGGUUGUUGUGACGGAGGAUCAACACUCCGGCAAAUGGGCGCUGCUAGCCUGCUACCGGGGCUACUACUCCGACGAAGUGAGCACUGUCAGGCGGGAGGAGAGGUAGUACAAUUGAGAGGAUGAAGACACGCUAUGUAUUGCUGCGAGCAUGCAUCGAACGGCUAGGCGCACUAGAUCGGACGGCUAUCUAGGCGGUUGAUCUUUUUCUAAAAUCAACCGGCUGAUUUGUAGCAGCCGCCUCUGAAAAGUGGCACACACACCAUACCUCCAUCUUGGGCUCGGCCCAUUAGAUUUUUAUUUACUUCUCGACAGCUCACAUCACAAUGGGCCAAGUUGCCUUUUGUUUUUUCUUAAACAUUGCCAGCCGGUUUUGUGAAGCUUUUAGAAGCUUCCAGCCAGUUUUGGUCCGAUAGUUUUUUUUAUUUUCCAUCUGAGUUUUGUUGUUUUGUACUUUAUUUCGUUUUUUUUUUCAUUUUUCAUUUUCUUUGUUUCAUAAUUUUUUCG
rnacentral:rRNA from 1 species